AACGCACCUUGCGCUCCUUGGUAUUCCGAGGAGCAUGCCUGUUUGAGUGUCAUUAAAUUCUCAACCUUUAUCAACUUUUGUUGAUAAUGGCUUGGAUAUGGGGGUUUAUUUUGCUGGCUUCUUUACAGAUGGUCAGCUCCCCUUAAAUGCAUUAGCCGGUGCCCCGCGUGGACUGUCUAUUGGUGUGAUAAUUAUCUACGCCGUCGACAUCUGCAAUCAUAUGGGUUUGCACUGCUUCCAACUGUCUGUUGAAUCAGACAAUACAUGACAAUUUGACCUCAAAUCAGGUAGGACUACCCGCUGAACUUAA
rnacentral:misc_RNA from 2 species